rnacentral:rRNA from 1 species
UACGUAGGUGGCAAGCGUUGUCCGGAAUUACUGGGCGUAAAGCGUGCGCAGGCGGUUUGGUAAGACAGAGGUGAGAUCCCCGGGCUCAACCUGGGAAUGGCCUUUGUGACUGCCCGGCUAGAGUGUGUCAGAGGGGGGUAGAAUUCCACGUGUAGCAGUGAAAUGCGUAGAGAUGUGGAGGAAUACCGAUGGCGAAGGCAGCCCCCUGGGAUAACACUGACGCUGAGGUGCGAAAGCGUGGGGAGCAAACGGG